UUCUCUCCUUUUUUUUUUUUUCUUUCCAUUCAAAGGAAAGUAAAGAGUCCUGCCCAGCCUCCUAGGCCUCCCCCGAAAUAACCGUUGGGUGCUCGUAUGUGACACUGCGCUGGUUUUAUAGUUGGGAGGAGGUGGAAGAAGACAUUAGAUCCAUACCCAUGAAAUUUAUAGUCUAAGAGCCUACGAUUCCUAAACCAAAAGCUAUAGGACGAGGCGGGAAAUGCCAGCACCUGAGACUUGUUCUACCAUCCUUUUAGUUUGCAAGUGGGGGGGGGAGAAAAAAAAAGGAAUUACCGAAGAUUUUUCCAAUGUCCUGCAUUGUUAUUUGACAUAGUAGAGAACGAGAAGCGUUAACAAUAAAGAAUGAGCGCAUCAUACUGGUCAUCAGUUUGGCUUUAGGCGUUGUUUAUUUGUUCACCCAACAGAUGAUUGAGUGGCCAGGCCCUGUGUUGGGUGCUAGAGCAGUGGCAUGCUGCCGUCCGUUAGAAGCUCCGGGUGUGAUAGUGACAGAAGGCAGGAGAGUGUGGAAACCAAGUGUGUGCCCCGCGGUGCGUGGGACUCCCGGGAUCCAGGUCUGGCGGCUGAGAGGCUUCUGAGGAAGGCAGGAUGAUGAAGUGCUGGCAGCUGCCCGAGCCCAGGCCUUUAGGAAUAAAUGAGACACGCAGCAGAGGGCUCCUGUGGCCAUACCAGACCCCGUGCCAGGACCCCGUCAAGGACCCGGAGCAAGGACCCCAUGCCAGGACCCCGUGCCAGGACCCCGUGCCAGGACCCCGUGCGAGGGAGGAAGCCUUAGGACCCCGCCAUUACCCACGGAGAAGGCUGGGUGCCCUCGGGCCUUGCUUCCGCUUGAAUCCAGAGGUUGCGAGCAUGCCUCCCUCUGUCCCUGUGGGAGCAGGUUUAAUUUUAUAAAAUGUGAAACACGAACUCUGUGAGUUUCUAGUCCGUCCUCGUUCUUGCUGAGGACCCACACGGCUGAGCAGGAUGGCAUCGGCAGCAUGAAUGGCAGCAGGCUCCAUCCACAUGUGCACCGGGGGCCGCGGUGCAGGGAGGCCCCUGCAGGAGAGGAGCUCCCGUUGGUGGGAGCACAGGUUCCCGGAGCUGUGACGCCGGUGGCUAAGGCUGUUCUCCGGAACACAGUGUGCAGGCUGAGCUCUGACGGUGGCUCUCCUCACUGUCCUUGGUCACCGCCCUGGACAGUCGCCCGCUUUGGGCAUCCUCAGGGUUCACUGGACAGAAAGCAGCCCUGGGAGAACGCAGGGCUCCAGACAGUGUCGCAGGGUCACCCAUGGCAGGUGCCGGUGGCCAGUGCCAAGCCUGGUGGGCGAGGAAGCACAUGGCAGCGAGCGGGCGUAUUGCUUUGUGUUGUAAGCAUACUUUAUAAGUACGUUUCUUACCAGCUUCUCAUUCGGGCAGAGACCGCAAAAUCCCUCUCUGAGUUCCCAGGCCAGGAUUUGUGUUUUGGAAAUGACCAGUGUCCACAAUACCUGCAGUGGGGGGGGGGGGGAAUACCAAAACUCAAGUCUGAGCACUCCUUAUGUCUGAAGGAAUGUUUUUAUCAUUCUCCUGUCUGUUCUGGCUCUGUCCCGGAUUAAAGUGCUCGGAAAGCCGGA